GUUUUGGGUUUUUUUUUGUUGUUUCGUUCUUUCCCGUUGGUUCGAGAGGGAAGGGUGAUGGUGGUCGUCGCGCUGAUUAAUUGAAGCUUGGAGGUCGAAUCUGGCGCCCGGCGAAGCCGCGGGGAUGGUGUGACGAUGUUUUCUGUGGCCCUGUGCGGGGCACCAUGUCUUCAUUUGCGAUGGACCGAUCUCGUCCAAUGAUACUCAUGCGUGGAUCGCUUGCAAAGUAUCUUCCGCCGGGUGUUUACCAGUUUGAUGAAUGGCAACCAUGUCUUACUGCUGAGUGUGGGCUAUGAACAAUGUGAUAUCUGUAGAAGACAGGGAAAUGGGCAAUGGCAUUUCUUUUUUACACAGCCUCACUUCCAAGACACAUGCCCCCAGACCCCAUACUUCUGCCCUCAGAUGAAGUAAUAGAGGUUUCCCAUGAUUGGGUACCAGCUAUUAUCAAGGCAAACUAUAUGUGACAUCAUUCCCAUGUCUAGCAAUCGAGAUCAUGGCUUUAGCAAAAGGUGAUAUGUAUGAUUGCAUUCAGCUUGAUAAGAUGAUGCAAGCCCUGGAACAGGUAUACCAGGCAAAUGGCUGCAGAUGAUGCUGCACUUGUUUGCAUUCAACUUCUUCCCUUGAGAUUUUGGAGCUACUUUCUGUUCCAGGUACCUGCCUGGGAAUCUAUGUUGAAACAUGGAAAUGCAUGUGUGCGCGCACAUGCAUACACACAAACAUUUAUGAGAUUAUGAACCAGAUUUUAAAUCCUGUGAGACAAAGGUGUCCUGGUUUCUCCAAUGGAACGGAAUGUCUCAUUGUCCCGUUUCAUCCCGAAAGCAGUCCCAAUCAUACAUCCCAGAACGGGAUGGACAGCCAGAAUGCCUCCCAUUCCAUCGAGGCGUAAAAUCUUGAUCAUGAAAAAGUCUAUUGAGGUAACAUGUCUUUCUCCCUUAGUAGGGAUAUGGUAGCUUGUUAUAAUUAAUCCCAGAACAAGAUUUGUGGAAGGCAUGAUAUCAUUGACAGAUGUAUUCAAGUUGCUUCUAGGCUGAUGUCUCCAUGUAUAUCCCUCCAUCUUCUUUAAAAUUAGAAUUUUGUCUAGCAACAUUGAAUCAAUUAAUAAUUUAAAAAAAAAAACUUAUGAAUCUCUGCUA